GUGAUAUUUUGGUUUCUUUUGUUUUUUAAUAAUGCAUUUUAUAUAUCAAAAUUAAAUCUCAAUGGUAGACCAGGGAUCGAACUGGCGAUCCACAGAUUGCAGGGCAAACUCCUAUAGCCGACGCCACCAUCAUUUAUGAGAGCAUUUGAACAUUAA